AGCUGUUUAUGCGUACGCUUUUUCCCUGCUCAAGUACAGGAAAUUGAAGAAUUAACCAGAUGUGAUAUGCUGAAAGAGGGAAGUUUUCUUCCUUGAACGUGGCCUUGUGAUUUGUCUUGGAAGGAAUAGGAUGAUCACUGGCAAGAACCCUAUCAAGGUAGAUUUUAUGGUGCUAACGUAUUAUUAAGCAUUUUGUUACAUCAGCAAUGAUGCUUUCAUAGCAUGAAAGGGUUUAAAUUUAACUGAAUGAUUCUGAUUAAUCAAUUAUGAGUUUGAAUCGAGUAAAAACUAAAUACAAUCAUCGUUAACAAUACUGAAAAAAUUUAACUGAAUCAUCGUUAAUUGAGUAAAUAGGAUCUUGAUAUUGAAGAAUUUGAAAUCACAACGCACACAGGAAAUUGAAGAAUUUGAAAUACAAUCAUCGUUAACAAUAUAAGAUGAGUGUUUGUUUGAACAAAGUUGUUGCCAAUCUUGCCGAGUUCGAAAAAAAAGAUCACGGAGCAAAUGCCACUGAUUUCUUCAUCAUUGUAGCCUCCAUAGUUGAAGUUUCCUCAUGUGAAGCUGUACAUCAAGUACAGGAAAUUGAAGAAUUAACCAGAUGUGAUAUGCUGAAAGAGGGAAGUUUUCUCCCUUGAAUGUGGCCUUUGUGAUUUGUCUUGAAGGAAUAGGAUGAUCACCGGCAAGAACCCUAUCAAGGUAGAUUUUAUGAUGUUAACAUAUUAUUAAGCAUUUUGUUACAUCAGCAAUGAUGCUUUCAUAGCAUGAAAGUGUUUAAAUUUAACUGAAUGAUCUUGAUU
rnacentral:lncRNA from 1 species